GAUGAACGCUGGCGGCGUGCCUAAUACAUGCAAGUCGAGCGAAUGGAUUAAGAGCUUGCUCUUAUAAAGUUAGCGGCGGACGGGUGAGUAACACGUGGGUAACCUGCCCAUAAGACUAGGAUAACUCCGGGAAACCGGGGCUAAUACCGGAUAACAUUUUGAACCGCAUGGUUCGAAAUUGAAAGGCGGCUUCGGCUGUCACUUAUGGAUGGACCCGCGUCGCAUUAGCUAGUUGGUGAGGUAACGGCUCACCAAGGCAACGAUGCGUAGCCGACCUGAGAGGGUGAUCGGCCACACUGGGACUGAGACACGGCCCAGACUCCUACGGGAGGCAGCAGUAGGGAAUCUUCCGCAAUGGACGAAAGUCUGACGGAGCAACGCCGCGUGAGUGAUGAAGGCUUUCGGGUCGUAAAACUCUGUUGUUAGGGAAGAACAAGUGCUAGUUGAAUAAGCUGGCACCUUGACGGUACCUAACCAGGAAGCCACGGCUAACUACGUGCCAGCAGCCGCCGCCG
rnacentral:rRNA from 1 species